rnacentral:rRNA from 1 species
UUAUCCGGAUUUACUGGGUGUAAAGGGAGCGUAGACGGUUUUGCAAGUCUGAAGUGAAAGCCCGGGGCUUAACCCCGGGACUGCUUUGGAAACUGUAGGACUAGAGUGCAGGAGAGGUAAGUGGAAUUCCUAGUGUAGCGGUGAAAUGCGUAGAUAUUAGGAGGAACACCAGUGGCGAAGGCGGCUUACUGGACUGUAACUGACGUUGAGGCUCGAAAGCGUGGGGAGCAAACAGGAUUAGAUACCCUGGUAGUCCACGCCGUAAACGAUGAUUACUAGGUGUUGGUGGGUACGACCCAUCGGUGCCGCAGCAAACGCAAUAAGUAUUCCACCUGGGGAGUACGUUCGCAAGAAUGAAACUCAA